GGAGUAACAAAGGCUCAAUGUUGCAAUUGUCCUUGUCAAAUUAGAUUUGGAGUGAUUGGACAACAAUUUAUGGAGCUUGGGUCAUAGUGGAUUGGGGUGAGGGAACAUGUUCUUGAGGUUUUGGGGCACAAUUUUGAUGGCUUGCCCUCUUAUCUUCAAUAUGUGUCAUGGUUCCACUAUCUCUAUCACACUUCGUUGUAACCUCAUGAUAGCUUCCCAAAGAGUAUCAAAUUGGCCCGGCUUAGGAUAGGUUGAAUCUCAACUCCCGGGGCCAUGGUAAUGGAUGACUCAAUUAAGAAAUAAAAAUUCAAAGUUCAAGAUUCAAACUAAGAGCAAACUAGGAAGAACAAAUAAAAAAUGAACAAAAUGAAAUAAAAAGAAUAACACCAAAGAAGAACGAACAAAAACUAAUUAAACAACGAAGUAUGAUAAGUUUUAGUUGUUAAUUAGUACCAGGAAUCAAAGAAGUGAAAGGAAGAAUUAAGAGCUGAAUUUGAUGGAA
rnacentral:lncRNA from 1 species